GGGGGAGAGAGAGAGAGAGAGAGAGGGGAGGAGAAGGAGGAGAGAUAGGGAGAUACUGAAAAGAGGGUGGGGGCAAGCUCUUGGUGCACUCUGCUUGUUCUGUGUCAGCGUCACAGCUGCUUGCUCUACUCCAGUGGCAUCGCUUUUCUACAACACAUUGCGAAAACUCUCCAGCUACAAGUGUCGACUGGACUUCAAUUGUAUUCCACUGGACUACGUAAACUUUGCCCAAAUUGGAAAACUUUUACUCGACUCACAUUUUGGUUGUUGUGUCCCAUCUUUUACAUGGAGUUUAACAUUUGCUGGAUUUGCUAUUAAUUUGGACAUCUCAGAAUUCAAUGACUGUGCCACUUGCUUCGAAGGAACUUCUCACAUCCUUUUUAUUUGGUCUCUGGAGACAUUAGGGAAACAUGCAUAGUGCAUUGAUGCUUUUACGACAAUGAUAAGUUGUACAACAAAAACAACUUCUGCUGGAUUUAUUUGUCAAUAAUUUACUUGAAUGUAUACUUUAUAAAAGUUUGAGAAUGUGACUAAGUGAAAAUCCCCAAACAAAUAAGUCAAGAUAAAUCCUUCAAAAUGCUCUUUAGAAAGUUAUUUUCACUCUCAGAAUUCUUCAGGGUUUGAUGAGCUCAGGAUUGGAGAAUCUCAAUUCUCGCUACAUGUUGCUUUGCCAAAAAAACUCCCAGUGAAGAUGGACUACAACUUGAGCAGCAACGUUUCCAACGGUACGACAGAGCCUUACCACCCGGCUGCCGGACCCUGGAUCCUCAUAGUCCUGGUCAUCAUCAUCCUGACCAUCGUGGUGGGUAACCUGCUGGUCAUCAUAGCCAUCGCACGAACCUCCCAGCUGCAGACGAUGACAAACAUCUUCAUCAUGUCGCUGGCUUGUGCAGACCUCAUCAUGGGGGUACUGGUGGUCCCCCUGGGCGCCACCAUCGUGGUGACGGGAAACUGGCAGCUGAGCACCACUUCCUGCGAGCUGUGGACGUCCGUGGACGUCCUCUGCGUCACGGCCAGCAUCGAGACGCUGUGCGUGAUCGCCGUGGACCGCUACAUCGCCAUCACGCGGCCCCUGAGGCACAAGGUGCUGAUCAACAAGUGGCGCGCCCGGCUGAUCGUGUGCGUGGUGUGGAUGGUGUCCGCUCUCAUUUCCUUCGUGCCCAUCAUGAACCAGUACUGGCAGGCGGAGAACGAUCCCGAGGCGAAGAGAUGCUACGAGGACGACGCCUGUUGCGACUUUGUGACCAACAGGACCUUUGCCAUCAUAUCCUCCGUGGUCUCCUUCUACAUCCCUUUGCUCAUCAUGAUCUUCGUCUACGCCAAAGUCUUCCUGAUAGCCACGCGGCAGGUGCAGCUCAUCGACCGGAACCGCCUCCGUUUCCAGAACGAGCGCCCCGGGGGUCCGACCCAGCCGGGGGGCCCCGUCCGGACCGCUCCCCCCCCCCCAGGCUGCGGGGGCUCGGCCAGCAGCAGCACCCACAGCAGGAAGAGCUCCAGGAGACGGUCGUCGCGCCUAACAGUUGUCAAGGAGCACAAGGCCCUGAAGACGCUGGGAAUCAUCAUGGGCACCUUCACUCUCUGCUGGCUGCCCUUCUUCGUGGCCAACAUCAUCAACGUGUUCAACCGGAACGUUCCUUCCGGGGACAUCUUCCGGCUGCUCAACUGGCUGGGAUACAUCAACUCUGGCCUCAACCCCAUCAUCUACUGCAGGAGCCCCGAGUUCCGCGCCGCCUUCAAGAACCUCCUGGGCUGCCCGUGGAUGGCUACCCCGCGGCUCAACACCUUCUACAAGGAGCUGAGGACGCGAUGCCCCUGCUUCCUGGGGGCGGUGGAGGCCAGGGUGGCCGGAUCCUUCCAGAAGACCCCCGUGACCCCCACGGAUGGGGACGACAGCCUGGGAAGUAGCCAGGGGAGCUACAAGAGCGAGGAGCCGUCGCCUGAACCCCCACAGUCAAACGGCAGCACGCAGCUCAGCGGCUUCUCAGAACCAGAGUCGGAAUUCCCGCAGCUACACGGAUCUGAAGACUUUCCCUUGGGGCCCGGUCAGCCAGGAGGGGCGGUUUUAAAACAUCACUGCGGCUGUACGGCUGAGCCGUGGAUUUCAAGCAACAACACUCCAAAUGUGCCUCAACAAGCAGGCCAGGCUCUCGUGAUACGCUAAUGUCAUCGUUGGAUACUGAGGGGAGGAGAUCAGGAGCUUAGGAGAGCAUUCAGUGAGGACUAUUAUCAGGCAUCAGUGAGGUGAGAAAUCUCCAAGACUCAUUUUCAAAGGAGAGCUGAAUAUCUGAUCCAAUCCCAACGUAUCAGGGGUCUAAAUGCUGGGCUCAGGUAGCUGAGAAGAAUACGGCGCAGGAUUGGACACAUGCAGAUAGAAGAGAUGGAAAGACUAAAUGGCUCUAACCCAUAACGAAACUCCUUUUUCCAGCUCAUAAAAACAGCUGGUCAAAAUCAAUCUUUUUUUUGUGUCUUUUUUUUUGCCAGAUCAGCUUGAGGAGAAACACAUCAUAAGAGGAAAAGGGUUCCAGGGGCGAGACCACCAUCCCUGGCCACCAAUGUCUUCCUUCUGCCUGCUGACAGGCAUGGCAAAAGUGAAAAACUUUGUGAGAUGACGGAUGUAUCCCUGUUGACUGUGGAAAACAUGCAGCCAAACUGCUCCACCCAAUCAGAUUGAGAAGUAGAAAGAGUUCAGAGUCACGUUGGGUGUUGCUGAAGUCCAGAAACUCCUUCUUUGUCUCUGUCUUUGCAAGGACCAAAACCAACAGGCUGAUCUCCUUCAUUUCUGCAGUGUAAACCUCUUCUCUGUGUCCUCCGGAUCACUGUGACAUGUGCUUGAUCAAAUUCAUGUUUUUAAAGUAAAGGAGCUAACUUUAGAAUAUCAAGUGCUUUUUUUAGGCGGUCGUUCUGCCAAAGAAUUGAAGCCCACCAAAGAUUUUGUUUCUUUAAAGGGUCAGAGUGACCUUAUCUACAGGUUCUCGCAGAACAGUGAUGGUUAUGAAUUGUUUAUACCUUCCUGUGGAGACAUGUACAGUUUAACUCGAUAGGAUCAGAAUUUCAGGCAUUUCGGGAAAAGAUGGGAAGGGCACUAAGUGGGUUAGGAAGGAGGGAAUUUUUUGAGAAACUCGUUCAGACACUGGCAUUCAAAAGAACACCAAUGACAAGCAAGGGAAUAACUUUCAAAACUACUAUUACUAUUAACUACUAUACCUUUAAAGCAAUUCUAAAAAAUAGCAGUACAAUAUUGUUGUUAUUAUUAUUAUUUUUGCCGGUCAUUUGUUCCAAUUUUAGGAUUCUCUUGCUGUAGAAGCAUCACAUUUGCUGAUUGUUUGUGCACGUUGAAGUACUUUCUCUAACCAGUGUGUGUCAGGGUCAACUCUCACAGGGGCAAUCUCCAAAUCGAAUAAACAAUCACCCUCGUGAUGAUGAGAUGGCUUGCUGGUCCAGAAGUGGGAAUGCUUCAAAAAAUAAAUAAGCAAAUGGGCCACAUGUUUGGGAUUUCAUGGCGGUAUGAACAAACCUCUGAUCUUGUAAAGCAGACGUGCAUGUCAUAAGUGACAGUGCCACAUGUGACAGCUUGAUCCUGUUCAGGGUUAGAUCUCUGGCUGUCACUUCCAAUCCAAAAGAGCAAAGAGGAAAGUCAGCAUCUAAAAAAAGGAAUGUCAUUUUUUCCUGGCUAAGAUUGAUUCUUUCAGAGAUGACAAGCCUAGAUUUUUUUAUUUAUUGAGUGUGUCAAUGUAUGUGGGUGGGUGGGUGUGAGUGUGUGUUGAAGCGGAGGAUCAUCACUCAUUUUGUUGAGGCAACUUUUCAACUCAAGUCAGACAUUUGAAAUGUUAUGCAUUAUUCUCUGGCAGAAUUGUAAGUUCACCUGUACCCCAAGAAUAUUAAUCUGUCUUUCUUCUCUCAGUUUCACAUUACAGGAUAACGAAGGCUGAGGGAGAGAUCAGAGCACUGAAAACGACAGAGGCCUGUCUCCUGAGGUGGCCAUGACGCGACUGCAUGGGCUUGUGGAGAUGGAGGGGGGGGGGGGGGGUGACCCUG